rnacentral:rRNA from 1 species
UGGAUAGCAAUAUCUAUGGUGGCGACCGGCGCACGGGUGCGUAACGCGUAUGCAACCUACCUUUAACAGGGGGAUAACACUGAGAAAUUGGUACUAAUACCCCAUAAUAUCAUAGAAGGCAUCUUAGAUGGUUGAAAAUUCCGAUGGUUAGAGAUGGGCAUGCGUUGUAUUAGCUAGUUGGUGGGGUAACGGCUCACCAAGGCGACGAUCAGUAGCCGGACUGAGAGGAUGAACGGCCACACUGGAACUGAGACACGGUCCAGACUCC